AUGAUCCACCAGCCUCGGCCUCCCAAAGUUCUGGAAUUAAAAGCGUGAGCCAUCACACUAGGCCAAGAUCCUUAUAUUUCUAAACAACCAUGUUUCAUUUGUCUACUCAUAAGGGACAAGGUGGGUGGGAAAGGAAUGACUUCCUACUUUACAGAGAACUGGAAUCACUUGCUGAGGGGCUGAGAAGUGGGUUUCAUUUGUAAGCCUCAUGCCCAGCUCUCUCUCGCUUUCUUCCUCCCGUCCUCUCACAGAUCAGCCCGGCUCCCUUCUGUUUUUGUUUUGCCUGCACACUCUUCGCUUCUGUCAGCUUUCUCUGUAGGUGUGCCUUCCCUUACACCUUAGGCUCAGUCCUCCCUUUCCCUCUCUUUCUUUUCCCACCUUGCCUCCUUCCCUCCUCUACUCUCUCCAAACCUCCUCCCUCAUGUUGAGUCUUUGCUGAGAGACUCAGUGAAUGAAGAUUAUGACUCUGGGAAACCGUGCAGUCCUUUAAGCUGGAAAUACACUUCACUUGAUCCAUUAAUGGCUUGAAUUUUUCUCAUUCCCCAACAGCCCCUGGUUAUGAAGCCCUUGCAAUGUAGGAACUACUAUGGAGUGAGAAAUAUCGUGCAAAACUGGGCAAAUGCUAAACACAUGAGCAAAAAUGGAGAAAUGCCACAGGAAGAUCUGAAAACUGAAUUCACAGAGGCCUACACACAUCCUUAAAAUCUUACCAUCAGGCUCUUCCCAAAAAUACUCCUAAAUGAAUUUCAUGCCUGCACAACUUUAUCUCAGCAUCUGCUGAACUGUGACAGCAACAUCCAGAAAGCACAGUCUAAUCCUCACUGAAUGAGGGGAAGUUGAAGGGUGAGUGUGCGAGAGAUUUGGGUGGGUACACAGAGCCAAACUAUAUCACAUGAGUUAUACCUAAUCAGUUAUUAUUUGUAUAUUAGUAAAUUAUUAUAGUUUGUAUUUAGUUGCACCCAUCAACUUACUAAAUUCUCUUAUUGUUAGAGUAGUUUAUCACUUCCUGGGCUGUGGUAAUGGAUUGCAGAGCAUGGGUGCUUGCUCUUGUGACUGUGGCCUAUGAGGUUAUUUUUGUUUUUGGAGUCCUGGCACACUUACAGGUAAUUUCCACCUGUGCCUCAGAACCAAG
rnacentral:lncRNA from 1 species